CAGCAGGACGAGUCAGUGGACGACGCAUCAGGGUCCGGUUACCGCACGCCGCUGUGGCCCAGUCAGAUCCGACAGCAUAUGACUACAAAAGCAAAAGCUCAGAAUAAAGUAUGGCCUCGGUACAGCAAACAAAAAAGAAGUGUCGGCAAUAUAGUGUGGAAUAUCUGAAAUAUGGAUUUGUCGCAGCACCACACAACCAACAGCAACCAAUGUGUCUACUGUGUGAUAGAGUGUUUUCAAAUGAAGCUAUGAAACCUUCGAGGCUUUUGGAACAUUUGAAGAAAAUGCACUCUGAUAAAGCAGACAAAAACUUGGCAUAUUUUCAGUCACUCCGAGACAACGUUCGGAAACGGAAAACCAUUGGAAAUAUAUUUGCCAGCACUUUACAACAAUCCACUGACGGUUUGCGAGCGUCAUACAACAUCUCUUUGCUGAUUGCUAGAUCUGGUAAGCCUCAUACAAUUGCAGAAGAGCUUAUUCUACCAGCAGUAAGAGAGGUUCUGCACACAGUUGUACACAAGUCACCUGACCAGAUUAUAAAAGCUAUUCCUCUCAGUGAUAACUCUGUUCAGAGAAGAAUAGAUGAAAUGGCUGAAAAUAUUGAAGAAACAUUGUGUAACAUGCUUAGGACAACAGAAUUUAGUUUACAGUUAGAUGAGUCCACUCUGCCAGGCAAUGAAUCUUUGCUUCUUGCUUAUGUUCGUUUCGUCAAAGAUGAAAGCUUGGUUCAAGAGCUGUUAUUUGCAAGACAGCUUGAAACAGACACAAAAGGGGAGUCAGUAUUUCGUGUCGUUGAUGAUUUUUUCAAAGAGAAAGACAUCCCACUUUCUAACAUUCUUGCUUGUGCAACAGAUGGGCCACCAUCAAUGGUAGGUCGUCAUCGUGGCUUCAUUAGUUUCUUGAAAAAAGCUGUACCUGGAGUACUUACAGUGCACUGUGUAAUCCACAGGCAGCAUCUGGUCGCAAAAAAACCUGAGUGGUAGACUACACAAAUCAAUGAGUACUGUUAUCACAGCAAUAAAUAACAUCAAGGCACAUGCCCUCAAUUCCCGACUGUUUCGACAGCUCUGCACUGAUAAUGAUGAAGAGUUUGAACGUUUAGUGUUGCACACAGAAGUUAGAUGGCUGUCAAAGGGAAACUGCCUGAGACGUUUCUAUUCACUGUUUGAUACAGUUGUUGAAUUCUUCCAAGACUCCAAUUCUGUUCUGUGUGAUGAACUAGAAACAUGAAGCAUGACAUUGCUUAUUUGGCAGAUACAUUCACAAAGUUCAAUGAAGUUAAUUUGCAGCUGCAAGGAAAUGAGGCUAACCUAAUUAAAGUCAAAUCAGCUAUCUCCACCUUCCUGGCCAAGUUACAGUUAUUCAAACGAAACAUAGCUCGUCAUGCACUCUACCAGUUCCCAAGCCUCUCUGAAUUGGAUAAGGAAAAAGGCAUACCAGACGAUGACCUUCAAGUGUAUUGUACACACCUGGAUGAACUGCACAGAGACAUGUCUGAGAGAUUUGAGGACAUUUUAUUGCUUGAAAUACCAGACUGGGUGAUCAUUCCAUUCCUAAAUGUCGACGGUGAGGAAACUGGAGUGGCAGAGGAAGAACUGAUUUCAAUUCAAAAUGACAUUGAGCUAAGGCCAAAGUUCAAAAAGUCAUAUCAAGAUUUUUGGUUACAAAAAAAAAUCUCUGACUGCUAUCAAGUGCUGUGGAACAAGGUCAAGAUGUACUUUAUUGCCUUCCCAACAUCGUAUUUAGUAGAACGGGGCUUCAGUGCAGUCGCCUUGCUUCUUUCCAAGCAAAGAAACCGACUGAAAAUUACUGACCACGGGGAUCUACGACUUCUUCUUAGUGAGUUCCAGCCUGAUGUUGAGAAGCUUAUGUCCCUGCACCAAGCACAUCCAUCCCAUUAAUAUUAAGUGUGAGACAAUGAAGGUUACUGGUGGAAUGUUUAUUUACCAUUCCAUGUUGCUGAAACAGUUAAAACUGCUAAAAAAUAAAUUGGUUUACUAAA